rnacentral:misc_RNA from 1 species
AACUUUUGACAAUGGAUCUCUUGGCUCUCGCAUCGAUGAAGAACGCAGCGAAAUGCGCUAAGUAAUGUGAAUUUCAGAAUUCAGUGAAUCAUCGAAUCUUUGAACGCACCUUGCGCCCCCUGGCUAUUCCAAGGGGCAUGCCUGUUUGAGUAUCAUGAACACCUCAACUCUCAUGGUUUGCCAUGAUGAGCUUGGACUCUGGGGGUUUUGCUGGCCUGCUGUCAGCUCCUCUGAAAUGAAUCAGCUUGCCAGUGUUUGGGGGCAUCAUGGGUGUGAUAACUAUCUACGCUCGUGGUCGUCCGCCAGGUAACCUUCAGUGAUGGGGGUUCGCUGGUGCUUAUAAAUGUCUCUCCUCAGCGAAGACAGCUCUUUGAAUGUUCGAUCUCAAAUCAGGUCGGACUUCCCGCUGAACUUAAGCAUAUCAAUAAGCGGAGGGU